UACAGAGGGUGCGAGCGUUAAUCGGGAUUACUGGGCGUAAAGCGUGCGUAGACGGUCAAGUAAGUCGGGUGUGAAAGCCCCGGGCUCAACCUGGGAAUUGCAUUCGAGACUGCGUGGCUAGGGUGCGGAAGAGGGAAGCGGAAUUUCCGGUGUAGCGGUGAAAUGCGUAGAUAUCGGAAGGAACACCAGUGGCGAAAGCGGCUUCCUGGUCCAGCACCGACGUUCAGGCACGAAAGCGUGGGGAGCAAACAGG
rnacentral:rRNA from 1 species